GCUGCCUGGUCCUCGCCGGGCGGCGGCAGCAGUAGGAGGCGAAGGAGGAGGGAUCGCGGGGGCCCCCGGCCGCUGUGGCCCGCUUGGCCUGCCCUUUGUGCCCGCAGCCUACGCCCCGCGCGGAUGGCCGCCGCGCCACGCUCCCCGGCCACGCGCGCCCGCCCGCGGACCUGACCUCCGCGCCUGGGAUGCGCCAGGGAUGCGCGUCCUCCGGCCCUGCGGCUGCUCCCGGCUGGGCACGGGGUGAUGGAGCUGAGCAUGAAGAAGUUCACCGUGCGCAGGUUUUUCUCGGUGUACCUGCGCAAGAAAUCGCGCUCCAAGAGCUCCAGCCUCAGUCGGCUCGAGUAGCCGGAGCCGCACAAGUACUACCGCACGGUGCAGAUCCUUCAAGUAUUUCAAUCCGAGUAGAAUUAUCAAAAAAGGAUGG